CGGAGUAGCUCAAUGGUAGAGCAACGGUUUUGUAAACCGUAGGUUGGGGGUUCGAUUCCUCUCUCC
rnacentral:tRNA from 1 species